UACGGAGGGGGCAAGCGUUGUUCGGAAUUACUGGGCGUAAAGGGCGCGUAGGCGGCUUGGCAAGUUGGGCGUGAAAGCCCUGGGCUUAACCCAGGAAUUGCGCUUGAGACUGCCGGGCUUGAGUGCGGGAGAGGUGAGUGGAAUUCCCAGUGUAGAGGUGAAAUUCGUAGAUAUUGGGAAGAACACCAGUGGCGAAGGCGGCUCACUGGCUCGUAACUGACGCUCAUGCACGACAGCGUGGGGAUCAAACAGG
rnacentral:rRNA from 1 species